rnacentral:rRNA from 1 species
UUCACCCAGUGACGGUAUUUAACCAGAAAGCCACGGCUAACUACGUGCCAGCAGCCGCGGUAAUACGUAGGUGGCAAGCGUUAUCCGGAUUUAUUGGGCGUAAAGCGAGCGCAGGCGGUCUUUUAAGUCUAAUGUGAAAGCCUUCGGCUCAACCGAAGAAGUGCAUUGGAAACUGGGAGACUUGAGUGCAGAAGAGGACAGUGGAACUCCAUGUGUAGCGGUGAAAUGCGUAGAUAUAUGGAAGAACACCAGUGGCGAAGGCGGCUGUCUGGUCUGUAACUGACGCUGAGGCUCGAAAGCAUGGGUAGCGAACAGGAUUAGAUACCCUGGUAGUCCAUGCCGUAAACGAUGAUUACUAAGUGUUGGAGGGUUUCCGCCCUUCAGUGCUGCAGCUAACGCAUUAAGUAAUCCGCCUGGGGAGUACGACCGCAAGGUUGAAACUCAAAAGAAUUGACGGGGGCCCGCACAAGCGGUGGAGCAUGUGGUUUAAUUCGAAGCUACGCGAAGAACCUUACCAGGUCUUGACAUCUUCUGCCAACCUAAGAGAUUAGGCGUUCCCUUCGGGGACAGAAUGACAGGUGGUGCAUGGUUGUCGUCAGCUCGUGUCGUGAGAUGUUGGGUUAAGUCCCGCAACGAGCGCAACCCUUAUUACUAGUUGCCAGCAUUCAGUUGGGCACUCUAGUGAGACUGCCGGUGACAAACCGGAGGAAGGUGGGGACGACGUCAAAUCAUCAUGCCCCUUAUGACCUGGGCUACACACGUGCUACAAUGGAUGGUACAACGAGUCGCGAAACCGCGAGGUUUAGCUAAUCUCUUAAAACCAUUCUCAGUUCGGACUGUAGGCUGCAACUCGCCUACACGAAGUCGGAAUCGCUAGUAAUCGCGGAUCAGCAUGCCGCGGUGAAUACGUUCCCGGGCCUUGUACACACCGCCCGUCACACCAUGAGAGUUUGUAACACCCAAAGCCGGUGGGGUAACC